rnacentral:rRNA from 1 species
GACGAACGCUGGCGGCAUGCCUAACACAUGCAAGUCGAACGGAGUAUGUUUCUUCGGAGAUAUACUUAGUGGCGAACGGGUGAGUAACGCGUGAGCAACCUGCCUCAGUGAGGGGGAUAACACUUGGAAACAGGUGCUAAUACCGCAUGAGACCACACCGCCGCAUGACGGAGGGGUCAAAGGAGCAAUCCGCACUGAGAGGGGCUCGCGUCCCAUUAGGUAGAUGGCGGGGUAAUGGCCCACCAUGCCGACGAUGGGUAGCCGAGCUGAGAGGCUGAUCGGCCACACUGGAACUGAGACACGGUCCAGACUCC